GAUGAACGCUGGCGGCGUGCCUAAUACAUGCAAGUCGAGCGAACAGACGAGGCGCUUGCUCCUCUGACGUUAGCGGCGGACGGGUGAGUAACACGUGGAUAACCUACCUAUAAGACUGGGAUAACUUCGGGAAACCGGAGCUAAUACCGGAUAACAUUUUGAACCGCAUGGUUCAACAGUGAAAGACGGUCUUGCUGUCACUUAUCGAUGGAUCCGCGCCGCAUUAGCUAGUUGGUAAGGUAACGGCUUACCAAGGCAACGAUGCGUAGCCGACCUGAGAGGGUGAUCGGCCACACUGGAACUGAGACACGGUCCAGACUACUACGGGAAGCAGCAGUAGGGAAGCGUGCGAAAUGGGCGAAAACCUGACGGAGCAACGCCGAGUGAGUGAAGAAGGUCUUCGGAUCGUAAAACUCUGUUAUUAGGGAAGAACAAAUGUGUAAGUAACUAUGCACGUCUUGACGGUACCUAAUCAGAAAGCCACGGCUAACUACGUG
rnacentral:rRNA from 1 species